rnacentral:sRNA from 1 species
GGGCAUGGUGGCGCAUGCCUGUAAUCCCAGGAACUCGGGAAUCUGAGGCAGGUGGAUUGAGAGUUCAAAGCCAGCCUCAGCAACUUAGUGAGGUCCUAUGCGACUUAGCAAGACCCUGUCUCUA